rnacentral:snRNA from 1 species
AUACUUACCUAGCAGAGGAGAUACUAAAUGAUCACCAAGGUGGUUCUUGCAGGAUGAGGCUCACACAUUGCACUUAGGAAAUGUGGGAAACUCAAAUGUACAAUUUCUAAUAAUGGAGGCCUGCAUUCAUGGUCUCCUCUG